UCGAGGACGCGGACGUCAACACGACGUAAAAUGGUGCGCAAAGGUCUGGGUCGAGAACGCCGUCGUGUCGAGUACAAAAACAGACUUAGAUUGAGCGAUCAGGACGCCAAGAAGACGUGUAAAAUGUUUUUCAAUUGAAACAUCGCCUAGAUAGAUGAUUUUCUUCGAUAAAUCUGAAGUGAAAUAGGAUGUUCACUCGAAAUAGACAUGGUAAAAACCACAACCAAAUAUUGACAGUAUUUAUAAAGUUUGUUUAUAUACACCUAAAAUUGUGACUAUAAAAAUAGCUGAAGUGAACUUG